GACGAACGCUGGCGGCGUGCUUAACACAUGCAAGUCGAACGGAAAGGCCUCUUUCGGGGGGUACUCGAGUGGCGAACGGGUGAGUAACACGUGAGUAACCUGCCCUUGACUUUGGGAUAACUUCAGGAAACUGGGGCUAAUACCGGAUAGGAGCUCCUGCUGCAUGGUGGGGGUUGGAAAGUUUCGGCGGUUGGGGAUGGACUCGCGGCUUAUCAGCUUGUUGGUGGGGUAGUGGCUUACCAAGGCUUUGACGGGUAGCCGGCCUGAGAGGGUGACCGGCCACAUUGGGACUGAGAUACGGCCCAGACUCCUACGGGAGGCAGCAGUGGGGAAUAUUGUACAAUGGGUGGAAGCCUGAUGCAGCAACGCCGUGUGCGGGAUGACGGCCUUCGGGUUGUAAACCGCUUUCGCUCAUGACGAAGCUUUGUGUGACGGUAGUGGGUAAAGAAGCACCGGCUAACUACGUG
rnacentral:rRNA from 1 species